UGGGGAAUUGUUCGCAAUGGGCGCAAGCCUGACGACGCAACGCCGCGUGGAGGAUGAAGGUCUUCGGAUCGUAAACUCCUGUUGCCCGGGACGAAUAGCUUCGACCUAACACGUCGGAGUAUGACGGUACCGGGUGAGGAAGCCCCGGCUAACUCUGUGCCAGCAGCCGCGGUAAUACAGAGGGGGCAAGCGUUGUUCGGAAUUACUGGGCGUAAAGGGCGCGUAGGCGGCCUGCCAAGUCAGACGUGAAACUCCCUCGGCUUAACCGGGGAACUGCGUCUGAUACUGGAUGGCUUGAGGUUGGGAGAGGGAUGCGGAAUUCCGAGG
rnacentral:rRNA from 1 species